ACUCCUACGGGAGGCAGCAGUGGGGAAUAUUGCACAAUGGGCGCAAGCCUGAUGCAGCCAUGCCGCGUGUAUGAAGAAGGCCUUCGGGUUGUAAAGUACUUUCAGCAGUGAGGAAGGUGGGAGUCGUUUAAUAGCGGCCUCAUUUUGACGUUAGCUGCAGAAAGAAGCACCGGGCUAACUCCGUGCCAGCAGCCGCGGUAAUACGGAGGGUGCGAGCGUUAAUCGGAAUUACUGGGCGUAAAGCGCAUGCAGGUGGUUUGUUAAGUCAGAUGUGAAAGCCCGGGGCUCAACCUCGGAAUAGCAUUUUGAAAACU
rnacentral:rRNA from 1 species